CCGACCCGGCCCCUGCCGCGCCACGAGGGGCAAAACCCUCGGAGGAGCUGCACGACCCGGGCCAGCCCUUCUUUUUUGUUGGAAAUAUCAGCUCCUGCCGCUCGAGGCUUUCCCAGCUCACCUUCUGUGCUCUCAGCCCCCCAAACCACCCCAGCUUUAACUUCCUUUCCUCCCGGGAAAGCGGGCAGUGCUUUUUUCAUACGUGUGCCUGUGCGUGUCUGUGAGCGAACAACAAAGUUCAGAAAGUUUCCUGCCCUCCUAUCCCCGGUCAGACUCUGAGUUCCUGCUUUAAUUUUAAUUUAGACACCAGAAAAUCGGGGUGGUUGGCGAAUAAAUGGAGAAAUACAGUGGAGCAGAGCGACAGAGACAUCUGCUACCUACAGCAAUCCAACUAUUUGUCCUCUCUUAAAGCUGUCAUCGGGAUGCCUGCUUGGAAGUUCUGCUUGGAGGCGUCCCCGGGGCACAUCACCGAGAGGUUUUGCUCGAAGGGGGAGCAGUGCAUGUUGAAGGAGCCGGGCUCCAGGCCGUACCCCGAGGAGUACAUGCCGGGGGGCUGGGGGUGCACGGCGCUGCCGCUGGAGUAGAGCCCGGGCAUGGAGGCGGCGAAGGGAGGCGUGGAUCCGGCCCCAUACCCCGCUCGCUGGGGGUUGGAGGCGAAAGCGCAAGAAGUUUGCUCGGGGAAGACUCCGGACGGGAAAACCGAACUUGCGGCUUGAUAUUUAGAAAAUAAAGCAUUCGCAUAAUACAAUGAA